rnacentral:tRNA from 1 species
GACUCUGUAACUCAGUUGGCUGUCCAGAGUGCUGCGCUGGAAUCGCUGGGCUGCAGGUUCGAUUCCUGCACUCA